rnacentral:rRNA from 1 species
ACUCCUACGGGAGGCAGCAGUGGGGAAUAUUGCACAAUGGGCGCAAGCCUGAUGCAGCAACGCCGCGUGAGUGAUGAAGGCCUUCGGUCGUAAAGCUCUGUCCUCAAGGAAGAAUAAAUGACGGUACUUGAGGAGGAAGCCCGGCUAACUACGUGCCAGCAGCCGCGGUAAUACGUAGGGGGCAAGCGUUAUCCGGAAUCACUGGGGCGUAAAGGGUGCGUAGGCGGUUUUCAAGUCAGAAGUGAAAGGCUAUGGCUCAACCAUAGUAAGCUUUUGAAACUGUUAAACUUGAGUGCAGGAGAGGAAAGUGGAAUUCCUAGUGUAGAGGUGAAAUUCGUAGAUAUUAGGAGGAACACCAGUGGCGAAGGCGACUUUCUGGACUGUAACUGACGCUGAGGCACGAAAGCGUGGGGAGCGAACAGGAUUAGAUACCCUGGUAGCACAGAG